CGCCCGCCGCGGACGGGGCCCGCUGCCCGGGCCUCGGCGGCCGCCAACUCCCUCCUCCUCCAAAUCCUCCUCCUCCUCCGCGGCCGCCCCAAGGCCGCCGGCUGCCGAGUGCAACCGGGAGGUGGAAUCCCUCUGCCAGAGGGCAUCCCUUUCCAGUGUUGGGGCCCAAGAGCAGAGCGGCGCAUCCCACCCACGGGUCCCGCCUAAGACCCCUGAAGGGGUAGAAAAGAGAGGAACCAUCACGAGGAGAACGGACAGCGAGCCAGGGACCCGCGGGAAGACAUUUAAGGGGUUUGAGAAGACUCUUGCGAUGCCCCUAAUCAACUGGGAGCUUUGUGAGUAUAGCGGCAGACUAGGAUUCACAACUGAUGAUCAGCAGUACCCAAGAACAGCACACAGUGAAGCUGGAGACCACAAAAAGCCCACAGCCCACACCUCUGGAGAGCAUUUUGGAGAAGACAGGUGGAGGAGAAAGUAAGGCCAAACCUCAUGAUUGGCCCGUGACUUGGUGAAGGCUGUCCCUGAGCAAAAGAAUCCAGUGUUUGGAAGACCUUUCAUAUCCUGCUAACAGUAACAACCCACAGAUCUGCCACCAAAAUAAACAUAGCCUUUUCCAAAGUGCUGUAAAAAGUCUAAAAUGUCUGAGCUUCAUUACCAAAGGUUGGUAGUGAUUCAAAAUAUACUAGCAGAGGAGAUCAAGUUAAGAAGAUAAAGUAAAGACAAUUAUGGAAAUCCUAAUUAAGAUUUUUGCACCGUGCUGGUGGAAGGAACUGAAACCAGUCUGAAUGAGGAUCAGCUGGUUCUUUUGUGAUCCCCUUCCAGAUGGGACAUUUACCCUGACUCAGGUUGUUCUAGCUUUAUGGUAGGGUCUUCUAUCAGAAUCCACGUCUUCGGUGUUACUUUUAUUGUUGUUUUCCUUUCUUACUUAGUGCCAGAGAAAAUGCUGCCUCUUCCAACUAACAGUAUCUUAGAUGAAAUACAGUAUAUUUGAAAUAAUGAUUAUGCAACUUAAGAAACACAUAGACAAUAUUUUCCACACCUUAAGUAUUCCUCAAAGACAUUAUUUUAAUGAUUGCCCAUGAUUCAUAUGAUAAUCCAUAUUUCAUUAUUUAUUCUCAUUUUUGUAGAUUUCAAUUGCUUCUAAUUUCUAUUACAGAAUAAAGCUGUAAUGAACAUCAUUUUCAUAUCUUCAUGUCAUCCUGAUAAUUUCUUCAGAAUUCCUAAAAAUUUAUUGGACUUCAAAAUUUAUUGGCAAAACGAUGUAUUGCCAAAUUGACCUACAGAAAUGCUCAUCACUUUACACAACUACCAGCAUUAAUAUAAGGGGCCUACUUUCCCUAAACUUAAGAAAAAUUGUAAAGUUUCAUAUGUAAAAAAAACUUUCUCAAUUGUUGAUUAAUUUGCAUUUAUAUCUGUGGCUGUUUCAUAUUUUUGUUGGCCAUUUGCAGCUCUUCAUUUGUGGGUCAUCUCCUGAUGUCAUUUGACUAUUUUUCUAUUGGGAUGUUAGUCUUUUUAUGUUAGAAUAAUUUUUACUUGUAGAAUAUUAUUGCAAAUCACAUAUAGUACUAACAUCUUUCAAUUUCCUUGUCUUUUCAUUUGUUCUUAGACUUUUUGGAUGUACUGAUCAUUUUAAUGUAACCAAACAUGUUUCUUUAUGGUUUCUUUCUUUGUUUCUGUGCUUAACCCUCUAUCAAAUGUUUUCCUCUGAUUUUUUUCUUAGUUAUUUUGUGACUAUUUCUCAACUCUUUAUUCCUCCUGGAAUUUAUCUGGGUAUGUGUAGAAGACUCUUUACAAGUGAAAACACAGAAGACUGAAACUACUGUAGAUACCAUAUUGAUGAUAUAAAAUCUAACGUGAAAACAGAACUGAAGUGAAUUCAAAAAGAAAACAUCUAAUCUGCCCCCUUAUCCAUUCUCUGCUACAAUCUACCAUUCUCUUCCCUAAACCAAAUGACUCUAUGUUUGCAUAUUAUUCUCGUUCUCAUUGUUUCCAGCUAAUUGCUUAGAACAGUGCUCUCCAAACCUUUUUUACUUCAUGGCACUGAAAGAAAAGGAUAAUCAUUGUACAGCGCCCUGGUUAAAUGGAGGAGGCUACUUAACAGCCUACCAGAGGUCACUAGGCCUUGAACUCCACCACUCCAAGUCCUAGUGCUACUCUAAAGGCUACAUCUAAAUGGUACAUCUGUAACCAUUUGUGGCACAUCAGUUGGGAAGUCCAUAAUAUUUCUGUCAGUUAUCAUGUUCCUCUGAAAGGAACCCUUCUCCAAUAUGUUACUAGGGUCUAUAAAUCAGAUGCUGGUAGUGAUGUAGAGAAGCCCGACUGUGACUGUCAAAUAAAAAGAGAGCACUGAACAAAGUAAA